rfam:Salmo salar isolate Sally breed double haploid chromosome ssa15, whole genome shotgun sequence.
UUGAGAAAAAUUUGUAAUUCGCUCUGGAUAAGAGCGUCUGCUAAAUGACUAAAA